rnacentral:lncRNA from 1 species
CAUGGACGGAGCAGGGCAGCGGCGGCGGGGAGUGGGGGUGGGGGUGGUCCUGGGACUUUGUCCCAACGAUGGUUUUGUGGGAACUGGGUGAACAGCAAUAUCUUCCCACAAGGCUAGCUUGAGUGUCUUUUGUGACGUCUGCCUACAGUUUGAGUGUCUUUUGUGACGCCUGCCUAGAUUCUCUGGGUGUCUCAUUGUCACCACAUUAAUUCUGUGCCUCGGGUGCAGAGGGAUGGAGCGCUGGCUUUCCCGUCGCUGAGAUAAAGAUGUUGUCACCUGACACCAAACCAGGAGACUUCAGCUUGCCCUGCCCCUCCGUCCUUUCUGGAGGGUAGUACCGCCUUUGUACCAGCAGGGGCCGCUCUUGUCCGAAGUCAACUGUGCUGAGACCGAGCCAUAGUUUGGGAGGAGACUGCAGUCAUCGGAAUGCCCAGGCUCCCAGGAAGCCCCCUUUCUACAGAGCCUCGAGGAAUUGGGCACCCCUCUGGGAGCUCAGCAGCAGGAGCAGCAGCAGGGGCAGGAGCAGCAGCGUGGCCAACCCUUUCACCGGGGUCAGAGUUUCUGCUAUCCAUCUGCUGCCUCUUCGGUUCCCUCGGUCACUGGCAUGCUGUCCAAGGCUGUGUCCAUGAGUGAUAUCAAUCUCCUUUCGGACUGCUCAGAUCCAAAUGGUAACUCACCUCAGUCCUAUGUCACAGACCUCAGCAAAUGGU